rnacentral:tmRNA from 1 species
GGGGUCGACUGGUUUUGACAGCAGGUAAACAUGUUUAAGUAAGCAAGUCGAGUAUUGAAAUGUAACUCGUAAAUCAUAUGUUUCAAAUUUAAAUGGCGAAAAUAAAUACGCUCUAGCUGCAUAAGACUGAAUUAUAGUAAGUCUUUGCUAAGUCUUGGCAAGGCCAAGAAGCAAGAUGUCUCACGAUAGCCCUUGUUGAUGGCAAUCGAUAUAGAGGCACCAUAAAAAUCAACAUCGAAAUACGAUUUCAUCGUUCGUAUUUUCCAAUUUUUGAUGAUAAGAGAAUCUAGGGUAGUUUUCAAUCACUGAUUCUUCGAAAAUUAAAUGAAAACUAAACUUGUAGAAAGCUUUUAUAUGGCUUGUUUGGACGCGGGUUCGAUUCCCGCCGACUCCACAA